rnacentral:rRNA from 1 species
UACGAAGGGGGCUAGCGUUGCUCGGAAUCACUGGGCGUAAAGGGCGCGUAGGCGGCGUUUUAAGUCGGGGUGAAAGCCUGUGGCUCAACCACAGAAUGGCCUUCGAUACUGGGACGCUUGAGUAUGGUAGAGGUUGGUGGAACUGCGAGUGUAGAGGUGAAAUUCGUAGAUAUUCGCAAGAACACCGGUGGCGAAGGCGGCCCAACUGGACCAUCACUGAGUGAG